rnacentral:rRNA from 1 species
UACGGAAGGCAGCAGUGGGGAAUAUUGCACAAUGGGCGCAAGCCUGAUGCAGCCAUGCCGCGUGUAUGAAAAAGGCCUUCCGGGUUGUAAAGUACUUUCAGUCGUGAGGAAGGUGUUAAGGUUAAUAACCUUAGCAAUUGACGUUAGCGACAGAAGAAGCACCGGCUAACUCCGUGCCAGCAGCCGCGGUAAUACGGAGGGUGCGAGCGUUAAUCGGAAUUACUGGGCGUAAAGGGCACGCAGGCGGUUAAUUAAGUUGGAUGUGAAAUCCCCGGGCUUAACCUGGGAAUGGCAUUCAAGACUGGUUAGCUAGAGUCUUGUAGAGGGGGUAGAAUUCCAUGUGUAGCGGUGAAAUGCGUAGAGAUGUGGAGGAAUACCGGUGGCGAAGGCGGCCCCUGGACAAAGACUGACGCUCAUGUGCAAAGGCUGGGGAGCAAACAGGGAUUAGAUACC